rnacentral:rRNA from 1 species
UACGGAGGAUGCAAGCGUUAUCCGGAAUGAUUGGGCGUAAAGCGUCCGCAGGUGGCUGUGUAAGUCUGCUGUUAAAGAGUGAGGCUCAACCUCAUAAAAGCAGUGGAAACUACACGGCUAGAGUGCGUUCGGGGUAGAGGGAAUUCCCGGUGUAGCGGUGAAAUGCGUAGAGAUCGGGAAGAACAUCGGUGGCGAAAGCGCUCUACUGGGCCAUAACUGACACUCAGGGACGAAAGCUAGGGGAGCGAAUGGG